UCUCCCGUCGUCUAGUUGGUUUAUGACACGGUGCUUAUAGAGGUCCAAAGGCACAUUGCCCCUAUGCACGGCCCGCUUUGCUGCGGAGAGACACGCCGUUGUCCGGGGUUCGAAUCCCCGCGGGAGAA